AUAUAAAAGUUUAAAACUGAAAACCCUAUAUUCUCCUCUCCCAUACACGAUCACUCUCUCUCUCUCACUCACUCUCUUUCUUGGUGUGCGGCGCUGAAGAAAAUAAGCCAGGGCCAGCCACCUUCGGCUGGCGAUGAUCCGAGCAGAUGAUCCGUCGUGAUCCCAAGCCAAGAACCCCAACUUUCCCUCGCCCAUCUCUCUCUCGCUCUAAACCACAAAACUGUAAUCGCGAGGUUCUCAUCACCGGUCCGCCACCGUAAAGGACUCACCAGAGCCAAAGUGUUUUGGGUCAGAUCGGACCACUUUCAGACUUCUCCAAGCCAAAUGAAAACCGAUUUUAUGUUCUCUUGGCCAAGAGCUUCAACAUGUCGUGCUCUAUUUCACGAUGCAUCUCCGUUGACUGAUGACAAGGUAGCGAUCUGGCCAUCCAACGGUUCAGAGGUCAAGUCUGAGUUGUGGGUAAAAGAAAAGCAAUUCAAUAAAUCAUCUCAUAAUAAGAACCGGAGGAAGAGAAAGCGGCCUAGGUGGUUUGAUGAGUACACUGAAAUGAAAAAGAUGUCUAGGGUUUCGAAGACACUUGUGAAUGCGGACCCACUUAGAGUGGUUGAUCGGAAGCUGCUCAGAACUUUUCACAGUUGGGUACUCGACCAGAUUGGAAACAAGUACCUGAGAGAGUGUUUCUCCGUUAGACACGAUUCGGCUUAGUUCCUCGAACUACAUACUCUGAAGACAUGGCUUGGAGACGAUCAUUUGGAUGCGGCAUUCCAUUUGAUGAGGAGGCGAUAACACUUUUCUCCAGAGGUGCACCUAAAUAGAUGUGUCAUCAUGCCGUGUAUUUUCCCAGCAGGAGUUAUUGCUCGGUGGGAAGCUGCGGGUGAUGACCAGGCUAACUAUCAGUGGGAUGAGGGCAUAUUAGAUUUGAUUUGAGGGGAUGAAAGUCAAUUCCUUGCCAAUUGGAAGAAUAAGGAGAGAAUAUAUAUGACCCUCUACUUCGAUAGUGCAAGGCAUUGGGUGACGCUAGAGGUAGAUCUAGAUCAUUGUUGUUGAACAUAUUUGACUCGAGCCUCGGAUCGAUUUCCCCGAAUGAAUCCGAGAGUCACUUGGCAAUGUGGAAAAAAUUACUACCAACUUUGAUGCUGCAGGCUGGCCUAUUGGAGACUCAUGACAUGAUCCUCGUGCCUCAAUUGACCGCCUUAGAGAGCCAGGUUAGAAGUUUUACUUUAAAAGUCAUGGACCGGAGCAUUGUUCGACAGACAGCUCCAGAACUAGUGCAGAACCGGAGGAAGAGAAAGCAGCCUAGGUGGUUUGAUGAGUACACUGAAAUGAAAAAGAUGUCUAGGGCUUCGAAGACACUUGUGAAUGCGGACCCACUUAGAGUGGUUAAUCGGAAGCUGCUCAGAACUUUUCGCAGUUGGUACUCGGCCAGAUUGGGAAUAAGUACUCGAGAGAGUGCUUCUCCGGUAGACACGAUUAGGCUUAGUUCCUCGAACUACAUACUUCGAAGACAUGACUUGGAGACGAAGUAAGUUUUUAAGACUUUUUUACUUUGGUUUUUAAGGAUUUCAUCUAACUCUUUUUAUUUAAUCUCUAACAUAUUUAAUUUUCAUGUUUUAGCAUUUGGAUGCGGCGCAUUUCAUUUGAUGAGGAGGCGACAACACUUUUAUCCGGAUGUGUACCUAAAUAGAUGUGUCAUCAUGCCGUGUAUUUUCCCAUCAAGAGUUAUUGGUCGGUGGAAAGCUGCGGAUGAUUACCACACUAACUUUCAGCGAGAUGAGGACAUAUUGGAUUUGAUUCGAGGGGAUGAAGGACAAUACUUGGACAAUUAGAAGAAUAAGGAGAGAAUAUAUAUGGCUCUCUACUUCGAUAGUGCAAGGCAUUGGGUGACACUAGAGGUAGAUCUGAAUCAUUGGUUGUUGAACAUAUUUGACUCGAGCCUCGGAUCGAUUUCCCCGAAUGAAUUCAAGAGUCACUUGGCAAUGUGGGAAAAAUUACUACCAACUUUGAUACUACUGGCUGGCCUAUUCGAGACUCAUGACAUGAUCCUCGUGUCUCAACUGACCACCUUAGAGAGCCAGGUUAGAAGUUUUACUUUAAAAGUCAUGGACCGGAGCAUUGUUCGACAGACAUAAUCAAGUGGUGACUGCGGGAUGUAUGUGAUAGGGCACAUCGAGCAUAGUAUGUUAGAGACUACGUUCGAUAAUGUGAACGAUUAUAAUAUGAAGAAAUUUAGAGAGCAGUGGUGUGUAGAUUUGUUUUACGAGAAUUUAGCAUGAACAAUUAUGUUUUUUUAAUUGGUAUUUAUUAAGAUAACAAUGUAAUUAGUUUUUAAAUUGGUAUAUUUAUAUUCUCUUAUUAGUUCAUAAAAA